GAUUGACUUUAUCAUGCUCAAUGAAUUGUGUAGGUGUUGUUUUCAGCAGUGGUAGCAUGUCAUCAGUUUGUGGAGAGCAAUAUUUAAUCUUAGCAACAGAAUGUACUGUUUGGAAGUUCCCAUGGAUCAUUUUGGACAAUUCCUCAGAGAUAACUUAUUCCAGAAACCUACAUAAGAAUAAGAGUCAUCUUCAAUGAAGUCUCAAUAAAAUUCUGGAAACAUGAAAAGGACACUAUUAGACAAACUAAAAGAAAACUGCAAAAGAACAAUGAAAGCCAAAUCCACAGUACAGAGCACACUCCCACUUUAGGGCCUACCGCGAACUGUUGAAUGUUGUUUGCAGGAUUAGACGUGCGAAUAACAACAACAUAAGGAACACAUCACUGUGUUCCAUUGACUACAAACAGAAAACACGCACCAUUAAUGGGUCUGGGAAGAGAAAAGAGCCUGACGAGGGACAUGAUGUGUAUUUCUCGAAACACGAACGUCCAGAAUGUCAAGCCAACAGAAAAAUAAUCAAUAAAAAAAAUCAUUGUUGCCAACAUCUCCAACAAGUAAUCCCUUCUGCAGAUAUUACAAACAAUACCAUUAUAACAAUAAAUAAACUUUACUUAUGGCAAAAUGCAAGUA